AUUUGAAUAAGUUUGGUAAUCUUUCACUUUAAGGGGCAUGACUUUGUUAGAGUUGAAGAAGAAUGACAUUAUUGAUAUCUUGAUAAUGAGGUCAAUUGAUUCAAAAUGCCUGACUUACUGUAAAAAUAAUAAUGAAUAAAACUCACCAGCGGUUGGAUAGAAUCGCUCAAAAGAGCCACCUCGUUUAAUGGGGGCAAGCGUGUGUGACCGAGUGGCAGCAGACGCUGCCAGCAAUUCAGUCUCCAGGUCUCUCGCUGCCUACCAUAGGCAUCAAACGAACCAACAAACAAAUAGAACAAACGACCUAACUAAUUAACCAAGUCUAUACCCGCUAAAGAGUACAGAGUCACUAGACAAGGGGUACCUUGAAUUAAAAACAUGUAAGCAUGUACAUAGGGAAUUUAAUAUGAUUAUAAUGGGUUAUGCUGAAAUAAUUUAGUUGCUAAUCAAAUUACUCUUUGUGAAACUCCUAUAAUACAACUGAUCUUGUUGCCCCAGUUGAAAGGAUCAAAAUUCUGUUAGCAGAUCCGCCCAAAUUCAUCUACAAGAGGUUUAUAGCAUCCAACUAUUCUUACUGAUGAUAAAUAAAAUGUACGUGCUCGAGUAUAAGGACAAAUAUUCAGACAAGCCAAGAAAAAAAUGCUUUGAAAACGAACUCUUCAAUCAGCAUAGACGAAUGAACACCUAUAUUCUUCAAUAUAGACAUAAUUUUGAUGGCUAUCCCCAUUGAUUACAGCCGUGAUGCCAUGGACGCUAAAGGUCUACGAACAUUCCUACCCUCUUCUAUGAAAAAACCGUAGCAACAUCAAGUAUAUGUGCAGCAAUAAGAGAGGAUCUGUAAGCUCUGUUCUAUAUCAAGUAAUACAUAAGGCAGAAACCACAAGUGAAGUGAAUGGUAAGAACAAAAGUAAAUAGAUUGUGAGAAUACAGCUUCUAUUCAAUGAUGUCGGAUAGAGAUCAUGAUUGGUUUCAUGUCAUAUGAAUGGAAAGCUUUCGUUGCGGUGGCUGUUCGAAGGCAAACAACAAUACCUUCCAAUACGUCCCGUCAUGGCUACAAUGUGUGUUCUGUUUUCUCAUCCUUACUUUUCCCUCUCUUGUUUCUAGUCACUACAAAUACACAAUACCUACUACCGGAGGCUGAGCCGGGAUAUACUAGAAUAUUCUGUACUUGAAUCACAAAAGAACUGCAUCAGACAAUGCUAAUGAAAUUUAGUGAUUUUGACUUCCGGAGUUCACAAAUGAAUAUAGCAGGAGAAAACUAGAAAGAAAAAACUUAGUAGAUUUAGCAGUAUAACUUUUCCUUUGUACAAAUAAUAUUGCAAGUUUUACAUUGAUUUCAGAAGAUUUUGCAAUGACGUAGAAAAUUAUUCAUAUUCACCUGCCCAUUGACAAACCAAUCCCAUUUGGUUUUUGAAAUACAUAAUUAAAAGGACGGAGGACGGAUGGAAUAAGGACCUAAUCCAAGAAUAGUUAUCUUGAAACAAUCGUGAAAAACAUGGGAAAGGCUCCUGUAACAGAAUGUAAGUGUUUUUCCGAUUUACAUACGAGGUAUUCUUCGGUACAAAAAUACUCAAUUAGUGCCAUGCCAUGAAUUAAAGUUAUUGAUGAAUCGGACGCACUUCGGUACUGAAUGAUACAACUAAACUGCAUAAGUCACUAAGAACCACAUGGAACUACUAACGCGUUUACAAGCUAUCGAUUCCAGAGAAACGCUGCAUACUAAAUGCUUAGAAUUCUAUGGAAUAUAGUAUAUUCAAAUGUAUUUGACAUUUUUUGGGGUCCAAAAAGUUCUUAGGAGCGUGGCUCUAUUCGAACCAGACCUCUGUUCCAAAUAUAGAUCUUUGUUUCACACAAACGAAGCACUUCGCAGCCACAAUAUUGGUACAAUAUAUAAAUCUUGUAAUUGUAUAAUUUUGAUAAAGUUGAUCUCCAGAA